rnacentral:rRNA from 1 species
CGCCCAACAGCUAGCCCACCCAUCAACCCCAAAUUAACCCUAUAUAUAACCCCAAAUACAUCAUCCUCUCAGCAACAAACCAUUUUACCACCCAAGUACGGGCGACGAAAAAGGACCUAGGAGCAACAGAGAAAGUACCGCAAGGGAAAGCUGAAAGAGUAAUGAAACAACCCAGUAAAGCACUAAAAAGCAGAGACCGCCCCUCGUACCUUUUGCAUCAUGAUUUAGCCAGAAAAUCUCAAGCAAAAAGCAUUAUAGUUUGACACCCCGAAACUAAGCGAGCUACUCCAAGGCAGUCUAAUUAUAGGACCACCCCGUCUCUGUGGCAAAAGAGUGGGAAGAACUUCGAGUAGAGGUGACAGACCUACCGAGCCUAGUUAUAGCUGGUUGCCUGAGAACUGAAUAAAAGUUCAGCCCUUUAAAUUCUCCCCUCCCAUUGGCCAACACCUUCACACCGAACAAAAGAAGUUAAAGGAGUUAGUCAAAGGGGGUACAGCCCCUUUGAAACAAGAUACAACUUUCCAAGGAGGGUAAAAAUCACAACAAACUUAAAGGUCAAAUGUCCUAGUGGGCCUAAAAGCAGCCACCUACCCAGAAAGCGUUAAAGCUCGAGCAUUACCUAACCAGCCUUCUAAUAAAGACAACACAAUUUCACCCCCCUUAAACUUACCAGGCCGUUCCAUAAAAUUAUGGAAGCGACUAUGCUAACAUGAGUAAUAAGAGGACCCACCUCUCCCCGCACAAGUGUAACUCGGAACGAACCCUUCACCGACCAUUAACGACCCCAAAACAAAGAGGGCCAUAGGCAAAAAACAAACAACUAGAAAAACCCCUAGUUCCUCACCGUUAACCCCACACUGGUGUGCAAACCGGGAAAGACUAAUAGAAAAAGAAGGAACUCGGCAAACACAAGCCUCGCCUGUUUACCAAAAACAUCGCCUCUUGAACCCCUAAACAUAAGAGGUCCCGCCUGCCCUGUGACUAUA